GCUUCUGAUCAGUCAGUAGAGCAUGAAACUCUUCAUCUCAGGGUUGUGGGUUCGAGUCCCACAUUGGGCA